rnacentral:rRNA from 1 species
CCUACGGGUGGCAGCAGUGAGGAAUAUUGGUCAAUGGGCGGAAGCCUGAACCAGCCAAGUAGCGUGCAGGAUGACGGCCCUACGGGUUGUAAACUGCUUUUAUACGGGAAUAACGCGCCUUACGUGUAGGGCUUUGCAUGUACCGUAUGAAUAAGGACCGGCUAAUUCCGUGCCAGCAGCCGCGGUAAUAAGGAAGGGUCGGGCGUUAUCCGGAUUUAUUUGGUUUAAAGGGAGCGUAGGCCGCAUGUCAAGCGUGCUGUGAAAUGUUCGGGCUCAACCCGGGCCUUGCAGCGCGAACUGGCGUGCUGGAGUCAGCGGAAAGCAUGCGGAAUGCGUGGUGGAGCGGUGAAAUGCUGAGAUAUGACGAAGAACCCCGAUUGCGAAGGCAGCUUGCUGCAGCGGAACUGACGCUGAUGCUCGAAAGCGCGGGUAUCGAACAGGAUUAGAUACCCUAGUAGUC